rnacentral:tRNA from 1 species
UGAGAAUUGGUGGAUCGUCGCUGCUAACGAUGGUUGAAAUCUUGUUUGAUUUGAUUCUCU